GCGGGGGGAUGACGUCACACUAGCGACGGGACUUCGGUUGUUGGAAACUGGGCCGUCUUUGCUGACCUGAAGACCUCGGGCUGGGACGGCGCUACGAUGACCAUUUGCCAGUUUUUCCUUCAAGGCCGGUGCCGCUUCGGAGACCGCUGCUGGAACGAGCAUCCCGGCACCCGGGGUGCGGGCGGAGCCCGGCAGCCGCCACCACAGCAGCCGCCGCCGCCCUCAGGGAGUAACAGGCGUGGUGGGUGGAAUGCCAGCAGCCAGAGAUACUCCAGUGUCAUCCAGCCAUCCAGUUUCUCCAAGUCUACACCAUGGGGUGGCAGCAGAGAUCAAGACAAACCAAUAUUUGGCUCUUUUGAUUCUGGGGCUUCCACCAGCAGAGGCUUUGGAUCAUCUCAAAAUCCUUUUGCUUCACUUAUCUCUGAAGAGCAGAAAGAUGAAAAGAAACUGCUGGAAGGGAUUGUUAAAGAUGUAGAGAUUUGGGAAUCAUCGGGGCAGUGGAUGUUCUCUGUUUACUCACCAGUGAAAAAGAAACCUAACAUUUCAGGUUUCACAGAUAUUUCACCAGAAGAGUUGAGGCUUGAAUACCAUAACUUCUUAACCAGCAAUAACUUACAGAGCUAUCUAAAUUCUGUUCAACAGCUAGUAAGUCAAUGGAAGAAUAGGAUAAAUGAACUGAAAAAUCUAAAUAUGUCAACCAAAGGAACUCUGCUCUCUGAUGUAAAGGGUGGAGCCAGUCAAGCAGCGCCUGCAUUUGGGUUUGGAAGUAAGCAAGCAGGGACGUUUGGGUCAUCAGGUUUUCCAGUGAAUAGCAGCAGCAGUAAUGUUCAGAACUUUAGUUUUAAAACGAACUCUGGAUUUGCCACUGCCCCUUCUGGAAGCACACCUGUGUUUGGGAGUCCCUCGGCCUUUGGGGCCGGGCCCUCUGCUGGUUCUACCAUCGCUUCCUCCACUCCAGCCUUUGGGUUUGGGAAGCCUGAAGCCACAUCUGCUGUUCCAUUUUCCUUCAAGAGCCCUGAUGCUUCCGGUUUUGGAUCACCUGGAUUUUCAGGGUUUCCAGCUUCCUUGGCAGGGAGUCCUUUCAGCCCUGCAGUGGCCCCUGCCUUCGGAAGUGGCAGUUCUGUGGCUGGUUUUGGUAGUCCUGGCCCACAGUCUCAAUCUGUAUUUGGCAAACCUUCUAAUGACUUGUUUGGAGGUAGCAGCAUAUCAGCCUCCUUCCCCGUCUCGGCCACAAAUAAUGCACUGUUCACACCCAGGGAUCAGCUGACUAAAGAGGAGCUGGACCAGUUCCAGUCCCAGAAAUUUACUCUGGGGAAAAUCCCACUGAAGCCACCACCUGUGGAACUUCUGACUGUAUAAAGGGCACUUUCAACUACAGACGGCUUUAGCCAGGCAUAUGGUGCUUGCCUAUAGUCUGGGAGACUGAGAGAAGGGAUGCCACAAACUCAGGGCCAGCCUGAACUGCACAGAAUGAGGACCAAGUCCUCCUGCCCGUCCAUGCAGAGGAAGGAGAACAUGAGAAUGCCAAAGAUUGAGUGGAGUCAUGGGCGCAGGGAGCUCACACAGCAGGGUGAGUGUGUCUUUGGUGUGAUGCUGGCUGGAGGCCAGCGCUGGGCCAUGUAACUACUCCACGUCUCAGAGCCAGCUUCUAAACAAAGGGACACUUGUACGUGUGAAGACUGGGUUUGAGGUGUAAAGCUAGCCGGUGGCAGGAGCUGGGUGGCGGAAUGCAACCCGCAGCUCCUACUACAGAAAAGAAAAGAGAAGAAGAGAAGAGAAAAGAAAAAAAGAAAAAAAAAGAACCAAAGAGAAAGACACCUAAAUUAAUAAAGUGUCCUUCUGGGUGUGCUGAAGGGCGUUUUCAAGAGAGAAUUAACUAAGGUGGGGGGUCAGGGUAUGAGGGGAAAGGGAGAAAGAGUGCUGUGUUCUAUGUCUCUGUCUCUCUCCCUCUGCCCACCUUCUCUCCUUUCCCUCCCUCCCUCCCUCCCAGCUGUCAAAGGUGUGAGCUGCCCUGCCACUCCCUCCCCACCAGGAUGGCCUGAAAACUGGAAGCUGUGAAGCAGUCACGAGGUAGCCAGCACUGCGUGGGUGCUGCUCUGGGCACCUCAGAACUAGAGAGGAACCCUGCCAGACAGCACUGCCAACGCCCAGAGUCGCCUCUGCUCUCCGGGCCAGUUUUAUGGUGUUUGAUGCUACUGAACCUACAAGCCCAGCACCAGCCCAGAGAUGAAUUUCACAAGACAGGCCAGGGAAGGGAAACUUUACAGGGAGAAGCACCACCUUAUGCCACUGGGUGAUAGGGAAGACGGUCGGCCUUGGCUCUAGAACUCCAGCUUUCUAAGUGGCCACAGAGCUUCUAACUAGCCAAAGCUAAGAUGGAAAUAAACUGUCACAGGGAGGAAAACUCAGGAGGGGAGAAAGACUGCCGGGAUGAUUCUGCCGCCUGGCCUCAGGUAUUUCUUUGGGUAGAGACCCCACCCAUGGUCUUGCCACCUCCUGCUCCAGUCUCAGUGCUUGCCCAGCCCCGCCAUCUCCAGGCUGGUCCUCACCCAUGCUCACACCUGUCAGCGGCAGUCCCUCUUCCCAAGCCUCCCACAAAAUGUCCACUCAGGCUGCAGGAUCUCCUUCCAGAAGAGACCAGUGCCAGUCUCGUGGUCCAGAGCGUACCUUUGUUCUGCUUCUGUCAAGGCUCACACUUGUCACGAGUGAAACCCCACCAGAGCCAGCAUAUCUCUAUCUCCAGUGUGUCCCCUGGAGCCCUGCAGCCUGGGUGGCUGCUGACUAGUCUGACACCAGCGACGAGGCAGCUUUUCCCAGCACCCCAAUAUAAGGAAACAGCAGCCAUGGUUGUCACACUUUCUCAUGGAGUCUGUUUCGCUGAUACUUUUUAUUAAAUUUACUUUUUGUGUUUUACCUGCCUAUAUUUAUGUGUACUGAUAUAUACAUCCAUAUGUAUUUUUCACCACAUAUGCAUGUGUAAUGUGUGCUUGGUGCCCAUGGAAGUCAGAAGAGGGCAUCACACGCCCCCCCCCACCCCAGCAACCGGAGCUAGAGGUGGCUGUGAGCUGCCAUGUGAGUACUGGGAAUCGGUCCUAGGCCCUCUGCAAGAACAAGUGUUCUGACUGCUGACCCUUCACUCAAACUCCAUUUGUUAAUUUUUUUAUUAUUUUGUAUGUACAGGUGUUUUGCCUGCAUAUAAGGCUAUGCGCUGUGUGUAUGCAGUGCCCUAGGAGACCAGAAGGCAUCGGAUCCACUGGGACUUUAUUGCAGAUGGUUAUAAGCUGCCAUAGACUGUAGG